UUGAGACUUGAACAGGUUGUAGCUGGCUCUGAACGGAGCAUGUGCACGCCUGGCUCAUCCACUCUUUAACCUUUGUGCACUCUUUGCAAGAGCUUGGUAAACAUUGGUCUUUCAUGGCUGGUGAUAUCCUCUCUCUUGUGUUUUUAUCACAAACAUGUCAUGUUGUAGAAUGGUCUUUAUGCAGAUAAUGCAUGUUGAAUAAA
rnacentral:misc_RNA from 1 species